AUGUGUAAGUUGCAUGAAAAUCUUAGCUUUGUGGCUGAGAAGCUCAAUCAGCUGAAACUUAUUGAGACUAACAAUCUUGAAAACUUGGUCGAGAAGGUGUGCUGCAACUCAUCCAACAAGAGCUGUAUGUAUGGAGAGUGUGUACACUGCAAGGACAAGAGUGUCCCAAUUUCUAGUACAUAUAGCAGUAUGACCAAAGUAUCUUUCACCCAGUGGGUAACAGAAGAUAAAGAGAUGGAUAAAAAGAAAGAGGGAGAAGAGAGGUCAACUGUCAAGGUCACCAUCAAAAAAUCUGUGGAGGGCACACAGGAGAACCCCACUGAGCUGUUCCACACCUACAUACAGCGGUUCAAACAGCAUCACUUUAACAUUAAGCAGCAGUAUGCCUUCUCCCGUGAGCUGAAGAGGAACAUGUCAGGGGAAGAGGCCUUGAUACAUAUUGACUUUUCUGAAAAUUACAGCUGCAAAUACAGCUCCCAGGUCCAAGCAGUCCACUUUGGGGCUACACACCAGCAGGCCACUCUGCAUACAGGGGUGUUGUAUGUUGGUGGAAAACCAGAGCCUGUGUGCUUCAGCACCAUCUCCCCCUGCAGACAUAAAGGCCCUCCAGCAAUAUGGCAACACCUCAAUCCAGUGCUGGAUUACCUCCAGGCCACACAUACACAAGUGUCUGUGCUGCACUUUUUUAGCGAUGGCCCCUGUACUCAGUACAAACAACCAGGAAACUUCUUCCUUUUUAGCACAGAAUUAAACAGAAGAGGAUUCAAGGCUGCCUCUUGGAAUUUUUUUGAGGCUAGUCAUGGCAAAGGAGCCCCAGAUGGUGUAGGGGGAGCCUUAAAAAGAACAGCUGACAUGAUGGUGGCAAAGGGGCGUGAUAUCCCGAAUGCACACGAGCUGUUCAAGGCCUUGACUGAGACAAACACAACAGUGAAACUGUUCUUUGUAAAGAAUGAGGAUGUUGAGAGUGCAAUGGAGAAAAUGCCAAAGCAAAUACCCGCAGUCCCGGGAACCAUGAGAAUCCACCAGGUGAUUACUCUGGCUCCAGGAGAACUGAUACACCGUGAUGUCAGCUGCAUGUGCACAACACGCAAGCAGUUUAACUGCAAGUGCUUCAACACACAGUGUUUCAGUUUUGGCCAGGAGAUACCAACUGCUGUGCCUGUCCCGCAGCCAGCCAGUGAAGGGAAUCCACAGACACGGGAAGAAAAGGAAAUCCAGUGGGGAAUGUCCAGAGCUGCUUGGGCAGUGGUGCAUACUCAGAUAUGA
rnacentral:lncRNA from 1 species